GUGAGAGGGAAACUACUGUAUCACCUGUUUAUGACCAAAGUCUUAUUAGAACAAGACAAAGAACGUCUCAGUGAAGCCAAGUAACUGCUGAAACAAACAAAAGGCUUUGGUCAAGAUGAUAGAUCCAAUCCAGUUGAAAAACCUACUUUUCACAUUUGGAGGGGCAGCAUCGGUGAAAGCAGCACAUGUAAUAAUUCCAUCGUAUCAAUCUGUGUCAGUGACAAUAACAGUUUCGUUGAUCUUCCUUGGAAUCUACGCAGUGACCAAAGACCAUUCUCCAGAAAAUAUGACAAAGAUAAUCAUCGGAAUGAUCGCAUUGAACGUCACUGAUUUGCUCAAAAUGGAAGUCAAGCUGGCGUGUGGAUUCAAUGCUUUUGUGAUACUCAUACUCGGCCUUAUGUCUGUGAAGGGGAACCAGGGAUCAGCUGAGAAGAAGCCAAAAAGCCUACCAGAUGGUCCUUUUUCUCUCUCAAGUACACAGGGGUGCAGAGUUACGAUUGUCCGAGGGGGCCGACCUGUUGUAGUUUAUAGG